rnacentral:rRNA from 1 species
UACAGAGGUCUCGAGCGUUGUUCGGAUUCAUUGGGCGUAAAGGGUGCGUAGGUGGUCAGGUAAGUCGGAUGUGAAAUCCCGGGGCUCAACCUCGGAACUGCAUUCGAUACUGCCUGACUGGAGUACUGGAGAGGAGAUUGGAAUUUACGGUGUAGCAUGUGAAUGCGUAGAGAUCGGCAGGAAGACCAAGGGGAAGCCAGGCACCGUGGGCCCGUACUGACACCUCAUGGACGACCGCGUGGGGAGCGGAACCGG